UCCCUCCCAAUUUUUACCACAGGCUAUGUUCUUUACACUGACGGUAUAGAAAGAGAAGGUACAGUAAAUGUACCCCAUAUACACCUCAACCCAGGCUCUUUGCAUGGUUUGCAUUGUGAAUUGGGGGACAAAA